UACGUAGGGUGCAAGCGUUAAUCGGAAUACUGGGCGUAAGGCGUGCGCAGGCGGUUAUGUAAGACAGUUGUGAAAUCCCCGGGCUCAACCUGGGAACUGCAUCUGUGACUGCAUAGCUAGAGUACGGUAGAGGGGGAUGGAAUUCCGCGUGUAGCAGUGAAAUGCGUAGAUAUGCGGAGGAACACCGAUGGCGAAGGCAAUCCCCUGGACCUGUACUGACGC
rnacentral:rRNA from 1 species